AUUUUAAAAAAGUGAAAAAUAAUUUCCGGACUAUUAAAAAAAAAAAUAAUCAAACAAAAAUAAACUAAAUUACACUAAAAAUGAUUCUCAAAAUAAGAUACAGGAUCCGCUGAUCCUUGUUUCUGUACAGGCCUGUUCCACAGAUGGAUGAAAGGAGAGGAAGAUACCUCCAGGCACCCACACCCACACCACCACACCACCACACCGCACGCACACAUUCGCAAUCGAACUCGAACUCGAACUCGUCGCUUUUGCACAACUAUACUAUUGCAGGAUGGAACCGGCCGAAGGCACAGGGGAUUGCAUCCUGGACAAGAGCUUCAUUGGGCAGAUAAACCAAGAAGCGAACUAUAAGCAGCCUCUACCUUGGUAUUGAAGGCUCUGCUGUCGAUGGCAUCGGCACAGGAUCCGCUGAUCCUUGUUUCUGUACAGGCCUCUUCCACAGAUGGAUGAAAGGAGAGGAAGAUACCUCCAGGCACCCACACCCACACCACCACACCACCACACCGCACGCACACAUUCGCAAUCGAACCCGUCAUCGCUUUUGCACAACUAUACUAUUGCAGGAUGGAACCGGCCGAAGGCACAGGGGAUGGCAUCCUGGACAAGAGCUUCAUUGGGCAGAUAAACCAAGAAGCGAACUAUAAGCAGCCUCUACCUUGGUAUUGAAGGCUCUGCUGUCGAUGGCAUCGGCACAGGAUCCGCUGAUCCGUGUUUCUGUACAGGCCUGUUCCACAGAUGGAUGAAAGGAGAGGAAGAUACCUCCAGGCACCCACACCCACACCCACACCACCACACCGCACGCACACAUUCGCAAUCGAACCCGUCAUCGCUUUUGCACAACUAUACUAUUGCAGGAUGGAACCGGCCGAAGGCACAGGGGAUGGCAUCCUGGACAAGAGCUUCAUUGGGCAGAUAAACCAAGAAGCGAACUAUAAGCAGCCUCUACCUUGGUAUUGAAGGCUCUGCUGUCGAUGCCAUCGGCACUCGACACUGUGGGCUCUGGUCUCGGCUCUGAAUAUCGUGGAUCACAUUAAGAAACAACAACAAAUGAACAGGGAUUAUUGCCAGCACAGAACACCAAUCGACACAUUUUAUCGACUUUGUUUAUAGCAAAUGGUUAAGAUCAUUAAAAAUUUGAUUUAAUUAACCAUC